UGGGGAAUAUUGCACAAUGGGCGAAAGCCUGAUGCAGCAACGCCGCGUGAGUGAUGAAGGUCUUCGGAUUGUAAAGCUCUGUCUUUUGGGACGAUAAUGACGGUACCAAAGGAGGAAGCCACGGCUAACUACGUGCCAGCAGCCGCGGUAAUACGUAGGUGGCGAGCGUUGUCCGGAUUUACUGGGCGUAAAGGGUGCGUAGGCGGAUGUUUAAGUGAGAUGUGAAAUACCCGGGCUUAACUUGGGUGCUGCAUUUCAAACUGGAUAUCUAGAGUGGCAGGAGAG
rnacentral:rRNA from 1 species